rnacentral:rRNA from 1 species
GGUCCAGACUCCUACGGGAGGCAGCAGUGAGGGAUAUUGGGCAAUGGGGGAAACCCUGACCCAGCGACGCCGCGUGAGGGAAGACGGUCUUCGGAUUGUAAACCUCUGUCUUUGGGGACGAAAAAGGACGGUACCCAAGGAGGAAGCUCCGGCUAACUACGCGCCAGCAGCCGCGGUAAUACGUAGGGAGCGAGCGUUGUCCGGAAUUACUGGGUGUAAAGGGAGCGUAGGCGGGAUUGCAAGUUGGAUGUGAAAACUGCGGGCUCAACCCGGAGCGUGCAUUCAAAACUGCGAUUCUUGAGUGAAGUAGAGGCAGACGGAAUUCCUAGUGUAGCGGUGAAAUGCGUAGAUAUUAGGAGGAACACCAGUGGCGAAGGCGGUCUGCUGGACAGCAACUGACGGUGAGGCGCGAAAGCGUGGGGAGCAAACAGGAUUAGAUACCCCAGUAA